UCCAGAAAUCAAGGUUGAACUAAUUUCAAAUGAAAAGGAAUUUAUUUGAAUGAAUUUGAUUGAUGGCCCCCAGCCAUUCACAUGGACUGUCAUUUGUUCAUGGACAUCUUGAUAUUGAUUUGGGGAUGUUGGCUAGACAACAUACGAUUUGUCAAUAUUACUGACUUUGAAUCACACUAGCAUAACAUUAGCUUUCUGGCUAAUAGCUGUACUAGUUUAAGUCCCAUUGCUAAGGCAUUUCUUAGGUUUGUCCUAUUUACUGGACUAGUGAACAACACUUUUUUGCAUAAGAAUCUUAUGCGACUGUAUUAACUGUUCCAGCUAUUAGUCAAACACUCUGGUGUUGCCAAGGAAACUGAGCUAUUGCUUGUGAAAAACGUUUUGAUUUGAUCACAAAUUAGUGUUCUUGUUUAUUAUCAUUCUACACCUGAGCAUAAGAAAGGCUCAGAUGUAGUGUGUAAAGAUUGUUUAUUUGAUAUCCCAUAGCUACAGUCCUGUCCAGAACUAUUGGAACAGCAAGGCUAUACACUGAAAACAUUUGGCUUUAACAACAAAAAAUGAAUCUGACACAAGAGAUCAGUACGUCUGGUUCCAUUUCCAGUUUCAGCUUUGGGUUUUGCCUUUGCUGACUUCAUUUAUCCUUAAAAAACCAACCAACCAACCAACCAACCAGCAUGAAGACCACAGAGCUGUCUACAGGAGAAAAGCAAGCAAUAUAUUGAAGCUGAGAGAAGAUGGAAAAUCAAUCAGAGCCAUUGCACAAACAUUGGCCAUAGCCAAAAAAGAAACCGCUGAUAUACUCAGCAACAGAUGUCGAACUGGUAGAAAAAGGAAAACAUCAGCGGGUGACGACGAAACAAUGUGAGAGCUGUAAAGACAAACCCAGAAACAACUGUCAGUGACUUCACCAACGACAUCCAGAGGGCAGGAGUGAAGCUUCGUCUGCGUUCACACCGACUAUGCGGCAGUUAGCUGGAGCUGCUCUGACCCACAAAUACCGAACCGCCUCAGCAGAACUGUCAGUGUUGGACCAGCAGCCGAGCCACUCUCAGAGGUGAGCACUAGCCUCCCUCGGUCACCAGCCCACUGCGGUGUUUUCGUACCUUCACGUCGCCGGCUAACGACACCACCGCACCUGGGCUGCUCCUCCACCGUGUCACCGUGAGGCUGCGUGUGAACACCUACCUCCUCCUCCUUCUCCUCCUGUCUACGACCGCCCGUGUCCUCAAGUUUGUCAUUGCACUUGACACCGUCGCCUUCUUCUUCUUCUUCUUCUUCUCCCUCUUCUUCUUCUUCUUCUACUUCACACUGUCGCCAUUUUGCUUUUAAAAAAUCAUCGCAGGUUGAGCUGUGGUCCGGAGGAGAGAGAGUGGAGAUGUACAGAGGAGUGAGCGUCACCCUGAAGUGCACACGGAACCCCGAGGUCCAGUGUCGCCCCCCCGGUCCAGAACACACACACACACACACACACACACACAUACACACCUGGACCAGCUCACCUAUAGAACAGUGUAGAACAGUUAAGUUGGAGGAAAAAUAUCACAGCACAGCAUUUCUUUUUUUUCUUUUUUUUCUGUUUGUGAACCAGGUGCAUGACUUAAAGUGUGUGUGACAUUUAUCCUCAUUAACAUUAAAGGAUAAAUUCACCCCAAAAUGAAAAAUUAAGUAUUAUUGUCAACGACUUAUCAGUAAAAAGUUUCCCAGCAAAACACUCCUGAAAAAACAAAAAAAAACAAAAAAAACAUAAUGAUAAUAAUAAAGUGUUGUCUUUAAUAAUUGCAGUAGAUGGGGACUUUAAAAAACUACUGGAAAGAAACAUAAAAUGAUGUAAUCCAGGUCUCACAAGUCCAAAAAUGUAUUUGAAAAGAUGUUAUUUACACCCUCAAUUUACAUUUGAGCUUGUCGACCUGAUGGACCUAUAACUAGCGGACACAGUCCUCCAGGUUGUUCUUAUUAAAGCUGCUCCGAGAUGCUUGAAACCUUCUUCCACAUGCUAACUAGAGCCGGCUAACUUCCUUUUUAGCACCCGGCUAACUUGAAUGCAGAUAAAAUAAUUAUAUUGUGAGGCUCUUCUAGACUUUCCUCAUGUUAUUGGACCGAAUGGCUCAAACUCUGAAAGUGAAACGCGUCAUUUUGAGUGGAUUGUGAUGCUAAAAAAAGUGUAUCCACCGUCCAAAUCAAGUCUUCUCAAAUCAAUUUUGGACCUGGUUGGAUGGCUGUAGCUCAGGGGUAAAGCCAGUGUGUCCUUAUCUGAAGAUUGCUGGUUCAAUUCCCCUUUGGGCAAAAUGCUGAACCCCAAACCUGCUCUUGAUGCGCUGGUCAGCACCUCGCAUGGCAGCAACUAAGUUGCUUUGGACAAAAGCGUCUGAUAAAUAUAAAUCUCUGGGCUUCUUGGAUUACAUCAAACGAGCCAUCUUUGUGAGUUUCAUGUUUUAAAACGAGUCCCCAUCUACUUCAGUUCUUGCUGCUGAGCCCCAGAAAUGUUCUGACGGACUCGGAAACUUCACCUGACUGAAUCAGCAUGAAGUGAUCAGACAAAACAUUUUUAUUUUUGGGAGAACUUAUCCUUUAAAUCUUUAAAUUUAAACUGGCAAAUAAUUUAUUGACCAGAGACACACACACACGCACACAUGGCCUAAUAAACGGUCAUGUAAACAGUACAUUUAAUGUAUUUUAUCUAUUAUUUAAUGAGCUUGGCCUGUUUAUCUCUGCAAUAAGGGAGGAAUCCUGUGGGUUAAUUUAACAAACCACUGCAGUGUAUUCACUCUGUAACUCGGACUACGAGCAGCACAGGACCGACAGGGUUAAAUCUGUCUUAUGUGACCAUGAGCUGAAUAUGAAAAUGGUUGUAAUGACAGUUUCACUGGGGGAAAAUACUCUACUGUUGUAUAUUUAAUGUUCAAUUGCUCUUGUACCAGUAAAGCAGUGAGCUUUAACCCUCAUUUGAAUUGUAGAAUAAUGAUGCAGAAUGCAUGCUGGGGAUGCAUUAUUAAUACUGUUGCAUGUUUUUUUUCUCGCCCAAGUUGCUGUAUUUCAAUGAUUCGACAGGAAAACCAUCAGGCGUUCAAAACCUCAUGAGUCAGGGGUAAGAAACCGUGUCAUCAGCAAUGUGUUUUACAUCAGGUGUUAUUUAUUACACUGAUCGCUCCUCUUUGUGCUGUUUUUUUUUAUUUCUUUACUGUAGCCUCCUUAACAUGAUUCCCAUCAAACUUUCCAGGAACACAAGCUUUAACGUGGUUAACUUCAUUUCUGAUCAUAACAAAGAUGACCUGAUGUGUGUUAAUUCACCUUCUGGUGCUUCUCAGACAUCCAAACCGACUGAAUCAAGUUUAUAUGCAAUUUCUUUUUUACAUAAAAGAUUAAACUGACGCCUAGUGUAGGGAAAUAUAUAUUGCCAAAAAUUCAACUUAAAGGAUGAAUUCACCAAGAGAUAAGAAAUUCAGUCAUUAUCUGCUCAUGCCAGUCGGAAAUGGGGAGAAGAAGAGAAAAUAUUGUUGGAGUUUCACAGUAAAACAACUUUGCAGCAUGCAACCAAACAACUCAAGCAGAUGACAACAACCCAAAAACAUUAUGUAUCGCUCCAUACAGCUUGUCAGGUAUUAUCCAAGUCUCUGGAAGCAUGAAAAUGUGUUAUUUUCACCCUUUUCUUGAGCAUAAAUUGUCACUUUAGCUGCUCAGCAAGCUCAACAGCACGUCAAAGGUUUAAUGUCGCCUUUCAAAUCAGUUUGGGAUCACAGUGUUUCUGUAUAGAGGCGUUAUAAGGCUGUUUUUUGACGUUUUAAAACAAAUCCCCAUCUACUUCAGUUCUUCAGGAAAAUGCUGCGACGCUGUUUAAGAAACUUCACCUGACUCUCCAUCGGCGUAGCUUUCUUGCUCAGCGCGUCGAGGAAGCCACGGCCUGUGUGUGGUGAUUGGAGUGGUAAUUCUCAUUUUCACACACACACACACACACACACACACAUGAAAUAUUGAUUGGAUUAAGCAAACAACUAACAGAUCUUUGGA